rnacentral:tRNA from 1 species
CCGUGUCCUGGUGGAGCCGGCCCGGCCAGGUGGCGUUUCCCGCAGCCGGAGCCGACGGCUACCGAGGCCGGCGGUUCACGACCGCCGCCGCGGC